rnacentral:sRNA from 1 species
GGAAUUCAUGAUGGACUUACUGUUCACCUUGUCAUUAAAACACAAAACAGGCCUCAGGAUCAUUCAGCUCAGCAAACAAAUACAGCUGGAAGCAAUGUUACUACAUCAUCAACUCCUAAUAGUAACUCCACAUCUGGUUCUGCUACUAGCAACCCUUUUGGUUUAGGUGGCCUUGGGGGACUUGCAGGUCUGAGUAGCUUGGGUUUGAAUACUACCAACUUCUCUGAACUACAGAGUCAGAUGCAGCGACAACUUUUGUCUAACCCUGAAAUGAUGGUCCAGAUCAUGGAAAAUCCCUUUGUUCAGAGCAUGCUCUCAAAUCCUGACCUGAUGAGACAAUUAAUUAUGGCCAAUCCACAAAUGCAGCAGUUGAUACAGAGAAAUCCAGAAAUUAGUCAUAUGUUGAAUAAUCCAGAUAUAAUGAGACAAACGUUGGAACUUGCCAGGAAUCCAGCAAUGAUGCAGGAGAUGAUGAGGAACCAGGACCGAGCCUUGAGCAACCUAGAAAGCAUCCCAGGGGGAUAUAAUGCUUUAAGGCGCAUGUACACAGAUAUUCAGGAACCAAUGCUGAGUGCUGCACAAGAGCAGUUUGGUGGUAAUCCAUUUGCUUCCUUGGUGAGCAAUACAUCCUCUGGUGAAGGUAGUCAACCUUCCCGUACAGAAAAUAGAGAUCCACUACCCAAUCCAUGGGCUCCACAGACUUCCCAGAGUUCAUCAGCUUCCAGCGGCACUGCCAGCACUGUGGGUGGCCCUACUGGUAGUACUGCCAGUGGCACUUCUGGGCAGAGUACUACUGCGCCAAAUUUGGUGCCUGGAGUAGGAGCUAGUAUGUUCAACACACCAGGAAUGCAGAGCUUGUUGCAACAAAUAACUGAAAACCCACAACUUAUGCAAAACAUGUUGUCUGCCCCCUACAUGAGAAGCAUGAUGCAGUCACUAAGCCAGAAUCCUGACCUUGCUGCACAGGUGAGUUGGUAAUUGUAUUGAAAAAGACUGUGCAGUGUGAAUUAAAAUAACCUAAUCUAGUAAUUGUGAUUUUGGCACAUUUGUGUUGUGUAUGAUAUCUUAAUACACUAGAAAAAUAAGUAAAUGUGUCUUCAAUUUUUUGACCGUUUGUUUCUUUGCAGUAAAUUAAUACUUCAUAUGUAAUUAAAACAACUUUAUCUCUGCCAUUCAUUGACUAGAAAGAAGUGCAGGUUUAGUUUGUUUCUACAUAUGUUGAGUUAGGAGACAAGUACAAAGUUCUGGAAUGCCCACUCUUUUGAAGAUAAACUACUUAAUGAAAUGUAAAUCUUGAAAGCAAUUAAGAGCAGUGUUAAUACAUCUGAAAUACUUUUAUUUAGUAGAUCACUCAGAUUAUAAUAGUCAUGCUCAAAAUGGCAGUUGUAAAAUAGCAUGAAGUCAUUUAUUAAAGACGGGGAUUUGUCAGAACAAUGUUCUCGUUCUUUCAACUAUUGAUUCCCCUGCUGAAGAUCAUAUACUGAUCCCUUAUUAAUGUAUUCCUUUUUCUAAUUUGUUUCUAAAGAGACCACAACUAAGAAAAUUGGGGAUCUUAAUGCUGGCUGAACACUCAGGAUCACUUGGGAAGCUUUAUAGACAGUACCGAUGGUUGGGCCCCAUCCUUAGAGAUUUUGAGAUAAUUGCAUCUGAUAACCCUUUCUCCCUCAAGUUGCCUAGAUACUGUCUACGUUCCAUACCAUAGGGCUUGAAAAACCACGGAGAAUGUGAAAUAAACCUUGAUCAUCUGUAAUUUAUAUUUGCUGUUUGUUAAAAACGGCUUCUGUAGUGUGUCAGGAAUUUGGAGGAAGACUUUAUAGUUAAUCUCAUCCCUUAAAUUUUAAAAGCUUUAAGUCAAAUGAAUGGUUUUUAUUUUCUAAAUUCUAAAACUAUAUUGAUUGAAGUAUCUUUGAUGUAUAAUUCUCAGUAAUAAUUUAUGCCCUCACCAAAUCUGUGGAAUUGGAAAUAACAAAUUUUAAGAAUUUUUGUGUCUAUGAUUCUGUAUAUUGGAGGUACAUUUUAUGGAAGAUUGAUUUAUGCAUAUGAAACUUAUCAGACUGAGUUGUUAGUAUUAAAUGCCUCAAUUUACCGUAAUAAGCCAUUUUAAGUGUGUAUUUGGCUAAUACUGAUUGAGCAUCUUGCUUUUAAAAUUUGACUUUAACAAGCACAUGCUUAGCAAUUUUGAAAUAAUCUUACUUUAGUAAAGUGACUGAGCCACUCACAUACUAUUUUUUUACUCUAAAACAAAAUGUUGGUAAUACUAGAUUGGCAUGUCUUUUAUUACAGAUAAUUUAGAAACUAUUAACAAUGUUCUUGUUAUCUGCAGAUUAAAAUGUGUGGUUUUUCUAUUCUUUUGAUUUUUAAAUAUUUAAAAAGACUCUUGAGUGUAAAAACUUGUGGUAUAAGCACUCAGGUAAGUUAUAAGAAAUACCUUGUAAUCAAAUAAGAUGAUUAUCUGUGAAAGGAUACGUUUAAGAUGACAUGCUUUUUUAAGAUUAAAUGAAGUGAAUUCCAAAAGAUAUGUGUGAUAACCUCGUUAAUAUGUUAAUGAUAAAGAAGUAUUUGGAACCAAUAAAGAAGCAGGUUUGUUGACCUUAAGCCGGUAUUAGUUUACUUACUGUGAACUUACUGGUCACUUUGAAAUAAAUACUGUAUGUUCCUGUAAGGUUGUCUGACAUCUGCUUUGGUUAUUGUAUUGAAAUUAACUAAAAGAUCACUUUGCAAGAAUUGGGGCGAAUUUUCUCUACCAGCAUUUACAUUGCUCUUAAAUACGGUUAACUACUUGAGGGUGAGGAUCAUUUCCUCCCCAGACUUUGGAUAGAUAAAUAGGCUAUCAGUAAAUCCUUGUUAGUUGACUUUUUACUCCGUCUGGGGAAAAUGAUAUAAAAUGUGUCUUUUGAAGCUACGAGAAUUAAUUAGCUCUGGUUAUGCUCAUUGUGUAUUUUAAUCUUAUUUUCAGGUAUAUGACAUCAUACUAAUAAUGAUCCUGAUUUUUAAAUUCUUAACGUUUAUUUGAAGUUUAGGAGCUGCCACUUUUCUCAUCUCUGGCGGUAGUGAGGUGAAAUCCAGAUGCUAAUCUUGGUGUUCUCAAAUGGAUUUACAUCUUUUAGGUCUUAAAUCAUUUUAAUACUUUUCCCAGAGGACUGCUGGUGCUAGGCCUGACUGAUUUUCACCUAGCAGCUCCAUUUCUCUGGCAAGUUGGUUGCUGUUUUGCGGUGUUAUUUUUUUGGACCUAAUAUUAGCUGUUUUGUAGUAGGCAGGUAGAUGUAGUGGUCCUUUUCAGAUCUAGAUUUUCUCUGUGCCUGCCACUUGUGUGUUGAGGUUUCUAAGCAAGCCAUGUUACAUAGUUCAUGUAUUGAUGUUUAUGUUUCUUCUGUCAGUGUAGUAGAAAAUAUAUCUUCAUGAAUGCCAGUUACUCCCGUUUUUCUUUCAAUGGCAUAUAUUCACGUUUGUUCAAGGAAAAGCCUAAGAAAAUGAUUGCUUUUAUUUUUAGGAUAUUGCAUGUCAUUAUCAUGACCACCAUUCUCAUUGAGAGAGAAUAUGCCUCAUUUUUUUGUUUUUGUUCUUCUGGAGAUCCCUCUUGUGGACAGUAUCUUCCCUUUUCCUUUUUUUAUUUAUGUUCUACCUUCCUCCCUUUUAAGUGCCAGUUGAGGCACUUGGAGGAAGAUAGAAUAAAACAAGGUACAUUACUUGUUUCAGAUAUUUCCAGUUAAAAUUGUUUGAACACUUGCCCCAUAGAUGAUGCUGAAUAAUCCCCUAUUUGCUGGAAAUCCUCAGCUUCAAGAACAAAUGAGACAACAGCUCCCAACUUUCCUCCAACAAAUGCAGAAUCCUGAUACACUAUCAGCAAUGUCAAACCCUAGAGCAAUGCAGGCCUUGUUACAGAUUCAGCAGGGUUUACAGACAUUAGCAACGGAAGCCCCGGGCCUCAUCCCAGGGUUUACUCCUGGCUUGGGGGCAUUAGGAAGCACUGGAGGCUCUUCGGGAACUAAUGGAUCUAACGCCACACCUAGUGAAAACACAAGUCCCACAGCAGGAACCACUGAACCUGGACAUCAGCAGUUUAUUCAGCAGAUGUUGCAGGCUCUUGCUGGAGUAAAUCCUCAGCUACAGAAUCCAGAAGUCAGAUUUCAGCAACAACUGGAACAACUCAGUGCAAUGGGAUUUUUGAACCGUGAAGCAAACUUGCAAGCUCUAAUAGCAACAGGAGGUGAUAUCAAUGCAGCUAUUGAAAGGUUACUGGGCUCCCAGCCAUCAUAGCAGCAUUUCUGUAUCUUGAAAAAAUGUAAUUUAUUUUUGAUAACGGCUCUUAAACUUUAAAAUACCUGCUUUAUUUCAUUUUGACUCUUGGAAUUCUGUGCUGUUAAAAACAAGCCCAAUAUGAUGCAUUUUAAGGUGGAGUACAGUAAGAUGUGUGGGUUUUUCUGUAUUUUUCUUUUCUGGAACAGUGGGAAUCAGUGCUUUUCAUUUAAGGCUACUGCAUGCAUCACUUCUGCAUUUAUUGUAAUUUUUUAAAAACAUCACCUUUUAUAGUUGGGUGACCAGAUUUUGUCCUGCAUCUGUCCAAUUUAUUUGCUUUUUAAACAUUAGCCUAUGGUAGUAAUUUAUGUAGAAUAAAAGCAUUAAAAAGAAGCAAAUCAUUUGCACUCUAUAAUUUGUGGUACAGUAUUGCUUAUUGUGACUUUGGCAUGCAUUUUUGCAAACAAAAUGCUGUAAGAUUUAUACUACUGAUAAUUUUGUUUUGUUUGUAUACAAUAUAGAGUAUGCACAUUUGGGACUGCAUUUCUGGAAGCAUACUGCAAUAGGCUAUCUGAGCUAAACACCUGUAACUAAAAAAGUGAAGAUAAGAAAAUACUCUUAAAGCUGAGUAUUUCCUAAUUGUAUAGAAUCUUACAGCAUCUUUGACAAACAUCUCCCAGCAAAAGUGCCGGUUAGUCAGGUUUGUUGAAGAUAUAGUAGAAAAGCUGAUUCUGGUUAUCUCUUUAAGGACAACUAAUUGUACAGACACAUAAUGUAACAUUGUCUCAACAUUCAUUCACAGAUUGACUGUAAAUUACCUUAAUCUUUGUGCAGACUGAAGGAACACUGUAGUAUACCCCAAAGUGCAUUUGCCUAGGACUUCUCAGCUUCUCCCAUAGGUAGUUUAACAGGCAUUAAAAUUUGUAAUUGAAAUGUUGCUUUCACUGAAAAAGUGUCUUGAUGUUUCAGUUAUUUUUAAUCGCCAUAAAAAAAUAAAACUAUCUUUUGGGUUUAUCUGUUUUCUCAUGCACAGGCAAUACACAAAUUUAAAAUGAGUUGUGAGCCAAUUGUUUCUGAAGUGUUUUGGUAGUUCUAUUAAGAAAUAGUUAAAUAUUGUGCUUUUCAGAGCCUCAGAGAAAGGGGGACGGGGUGGGGGUGGGGGGGGCAGCGGAAUCUGUCCUGGAUGGGGCCAGCUUAAAUAAUACUGGCAACCAAGAAUCUGUUAGGAUUUCUGUGCAUAUAGUGUAGUAAAGAAGUAUCAUUCAGGGGUGAAAAACAAAGAGCCGUUUUAAUGAUGUUGAGUACAUUUGGCUGUUUUAUAGCCUUUUUCUUCCCUCCCCAAAGAAUUCUGUUUGCCUAACUCCCAAACUGUUGGGGUGGUACAUUCCUUUAGGACCAAUUAAAACAUAAUUGAGGGUCAGUGAUACAUUUGCCUGACUCUGGUUCAGUAUUCUCUUAGGUGAUUAUAUUCUCUCAUGUACAGUUACAGGAAAUUAAAAUGUUAAAGUAACCUAAAAUGAAUUCAGACCAAUAAAAUCAAGGGAAAUACAAGUUGAUUGCAUUACUUCUGUACGUUGCUUGCUAUUAAAAAGGUUAAGAGGCCAGGUUAGCCACCAGUCCAUGCACUGUUCUGACACUUUCCCCAGGAGGAAAACAAGUACAAAGGUUACGGUGGAGGCAUGAGUAGAGGAGAUUGCUAAGAAGGGUAUUCAUGUGUCUUUGCUCUUUCUGCUUUAUGCCUCAGUUUGGUUUAAAAACUUCUGUACUGGCAAAUGGUGGUAUUCAGUGUGGGAUAGUGUCAUAACUAAUUUGACAAUUAAUCACAAAAUAACAAUAAAUCUCUAGCUUUU